GCGAGUAUAGGCUAGUGGUAAACCGAGUGGCCUCCAACCACGAUUCGCGUGUUCGAACCACGCUGCUCGCA
rnacentral:tRNA from 1 species